rnacentral:rRNA from 1 species
UGGGGAAUUUUGGACAAUGGGGGAAACCCCGAUCCAGCCAUCCCGCGUGUGCGAUGAAGGCCUUCGGGUUGUAAAGCACUUUUGGCAGGAAAGAAAAGUCAUGGGUUAAUACCCCGUGAAACUGACGGUACCUGCAGAAUAAGCACCGGCUAACUACGUGCCAGCAGCCGCGGUAAUACGUAGGGUGCAAGCGUUAAUCGGAAUUACUGGGCGUAAAGCGUGCGCAGGCGGUUCGGAAAGAAAGAUGUGAAAUCCCAGAGCUCAACUUUGGAACUGCAUUUUUGACUGCGGGGCUGGAGUGGGUCAGAGGGAGGUGGAAUUCCGCGUGUAGCAGUGAAAGGCGUAGAUAUGCGGAGGAACAACGAUGGCGAAGGCAGCCUCCUGGGAUAACACUGACGAUCAUGCACGAAAGCGUGGGGAGCAAACAGG